rnacentral:rRNA from 1 species
CCUACGGGUGGCAGCAGUGGGGAAUAUUGGACAAUGGGGGCAACCCUGAUCCAGCCAUGCCGCGUGUGUGAAGAAGGCCCUCGGGUUGUAAAGCACUUUCAGUGAGGAAGAACGCCUGGUGGUUAAUACCCAUCAGGAAAGACAUCACUCACAGAAGAAGCACCGGCUAACUCCGUGCCAGCAGCCGCGGUAAUACGGAGGGUGCGAGCGUUAAUCGGAAUUACUGGGCGUAAAGCGCGCGUAGGUGGCUUGAUAAGCCGGUUGUGAAAGCCCCGGGCUCAACCCGGGAACGGCAUCCGGAACUGUCAAGCUAGAGUGCAGGAGAGGAAGGUAGAAUUCCCGGUGUAGCGGUGAAAUGCGUAGAGAUCGGGAGGAAUACCAGUGGCGAAGGCGGCCUUCUGGACUGACACUGACACUGAGGUGCGAAAGCGUGGGUAGCAAACAGGAUUAGAUACCCGUGUAGUC